UUUCAGAGAAAGACGUGUGCAAAAGAAAGGAGUCCGCUGACGGCCAGAGAGAGAGAGAGGUGAUCCCUGUGGAGCUUCCUUGAAGAAGGAUCCCAGUAUCACAUAUCAGUUAGAUGACCAAUUUAGGGCCUACAUGACUGCUGCAGCUCAGCGCUGGAGCUCAGAUCAAUGGAAUACUGUUGGGGAUACAACGGACCACACCCACACACUGAUUAGACCCUCUGAUUGGAUGUCACGUGGAUGACUUGACCACUACCAUGGCUUUCAUGCAAAUUGAUCAAGGGUUGGAAGCAGACACAGACAAACACCUUCUAGUCCAAACAUACGUGCACACAAACACAGUCACAUGCACGUCGUCCCCCUUCUACAGCCAAGGGAAGUAAUGAAAACAAAUGGCAGAGUUCUAUUCCCACUGGGACCUGAGGAGGAACUUAGUCAUCAAGCUAAUUUUAUUCUUGUCUGGCUCAGAGACUCCAUUUCCUCUGGGUGUUUUUACAAACGCUGGGCUGCACCACGCCAUCGGCCAGUGAUGGAUAUGAGGGCCUGAUGGCCGGAUGGCAGAUGCUGGCCCUGUAACUCAAGCUCCAAACACUUGCUGAUGACCCCCCUUGCACCCUGUGCAUUCCUUGCUCAAUGCAGAGUAGCUGCUUGGGUGUGUGUAUGCAAACUUGUACUUUCCAAACAAAGGCCCAGAGAUAUCACAAUCACAUAGUUAGAUGGAUAAGCAUAUCUACUGUGGAAGUUACUGUAUGCAUAUAACGUGUCAGUACAAAAGAAUACAAUGGGCAGAGUUCCCGUUCUCAGCCAAGAAAUCAUCAGUAAUUUUCAUUAAACUUGUCUGACUGUUAUCAUCAUCAUUUUUAAUUAUUUAAAUUUAGGCCAAUAUGUUGGUAUUGUAAUCUGUUAUAGGCCAAUAAAAUUCAGCUAGCUAAUUUGGUAAAGUAGGACCUGAAAUCUUAAGCAAAAUCACAGAUGUGGCUGAAUGUGUACUAACAUUAUUUCGAGUAAAUCUACCAAUUUUGUAGUUUGUUUAAGACCUCUCUAACUUUAAGUGCAUCCAAUUACUCCAUCUUUGCUUCCCCUAUAUGCUAUGAGUAAGAAUCAUGUUACUGGCAGUGGCAGGCUGUAGUUUAGCAGCUUAAGCAGCGAGAGCUCUUGUUUCUGCUGCAGGCUACUGUGUAGAGAGGGUGGUUAAACUUGCAGCAAAUUCAUAUUAGUACGUCAUUUGUUGUUAGACUUUUCGUC